AAAUUAUAUAAAUAAAAUGACGUUGAAAAAUCGCAUUUCACAACAACAAAAAAUCAACAAUGUUAACAAAAAUAUUUGCAAAAAAUAAAAUAAACAAUAACUCGUACAACUACAAAACUAGUCAUCAAUAUAGGAAGAAAAGAGAGAAAAUUACAAUCUAAUACUUCCUCCGUUUCAAAAUAGAUGCUACAUUGUUGACUAAAACGCUUGUCGAGGCACUACUUUGACUACUAAUAUCUUUAAUUAUGUAUUAGAGUAAAGUAUAAAAUUUUGAUUUUCUGAAAAUAUACAUUAAGACAAAUCCAACAACAUAUUACAUUAUAACAUUUGAUUUUACCUAAUAGUAAAUAAUGCAUGGUCAAACCUCAUUCAUGAAUAGUGGAAAAGUCAACAAUGUAGCAUCUAUUUUGAAACGGAGGAAGUAUAUCAAAUCCUAUAACUUGCAACAUGUGAAGCAAUUUCCAAUCAUUUGGAAACACUUAAAAUUCCAUAAUACACACAAAACUCCACUAACAAUCUCUUGUUUUUUGACAAAAACAAAGAAAAUCACAACAAUAGCAUAAAAACAACUUAAAGAAACAUUCAUUUGAGUUCUUUCUGAACUGAAAUUGACUGCGAAUCAAGCAAUUCAUUCUCAUUUUGUUCAACUCUUUUGCUCUCAAAUUUUCUCCACUGGUUGAUUGCAAAAGUGCAUAUCACUGAAACCACAAAAUUGCAUAAUCACCAUUAAAACACACUUAACCUAACCUAAAUCUAGAGAGAGAAUGACAAAAAAAAAUGAAUACCUCCGGCAGCCAUGAAAGACAAAAGACGAACCAUCUUCGGCGCUGCUGGUCCAGUUAUCUCCACUCCUCUCCAGUCAUUUUCUCUCUCCUUUGACCUCGCCUUAAUUUGACCUUUUUUUUUUGUUGUUGUUGUGAGUCGCUGUUUUAAUAAAGUAGCUGAUUUUUUGGGCUGAAAUAAUCGACAAUAGGCCCGGCCCAAGUCCACUUUCAUCACCUCCAUUGAAGAAAAUCUCUCAUUCUCUCUCCCCUCUCGUUUACUGGUUUUCAGUGUUGUCUGUGAUCAACGAAGAUGGAAAACUCAAAGUUGAAGAUAGCAAUUAUACAUCCAGAUCUUGGUAUAGGAGGAGCUGAGAGAUUGAUCGUAGAUGCUGCAAUGGAAUUAUCAUCCCAUGGGCAUGAUGUGCAUAUAUUCACAUCACAUCAUGACAGAAAUCGUUGUUUUGAAGAGACUGUUAGCGGCUAUCCUUGGAGGUGAUUUUAAGUAACGGAUUCAUCUGAUCUUCUCUAUCGGAGGCUGUGCAUCAUCACUUCCAGUAUUUUGCAUAAUACUAUCUUUUUGCAAUUACAUUGGGAAACCUAGUGUCAUGGAGAAGGUUAAAGCCUUUGCAUAACUGCAUUUUCUCGUCUGUGUGUGUUGUAUUUUAAGGGAAGGCUGAUGUCACAACAUCUCUUUGGGAGACAUCUAGGGUAAUGGAAUCUAGUGGAUGUAUUCGUCUUCUGUCGUAUCUCAUUUAUAGGUUAGCUAUUUGUCGUUCAAGAGGAGAAGGAAAGUAUAUCCGGAUCCAAAUUCCAACUGUGAGAAUAUGAUCCGAGGAGUAGCUAUUUGUCAAAAAUCAUACCCUAUUAUAUUUAGAAUCUUGUUUGGUGACUUUAAUUGAUAUUCUUAUGUCAAAGUGCAUCUCAAACCUUUCAUUUGACAACCUGGAGGGUUACAUAACUUUUGUAUAGUUGACAUAGCCUAACUCAAAGCCCUUCGAGGAUUUCCUUGAUAGAUUAUUUGGCUGGUGGAGGGUCAUUCAAGACUUGGCGCAUCGUUGUCUAUUGUCUAUGAAGAAUUUUUAAAUUAUAUGUGUACCAUAAUCUGUACAAAAAUAGAGAAGGGAUAGGUGCAUAGGAGGGAAUGAUACUGAUGAAUGAAUAUCAUUAAGGUCUUUUCCCUGCCUUCUACCCCCUCCCCCAGUAAUAGUAUGAAAGAUGACUGCAUAAGUAUUUGUAUGCUCAGAACUUCCUGCAGGGAAUAACUCUACCUUAUAUGUAACACCCCGAUAAUUCUCUCUUUCUAGAAAAUACUUUUAUAAUAAACCUUAGAGAAUUACCCAGGCAUUAUUGCCCGUGUGAUAACGUUUCGGCUUGCUCGGAAUUAUGCAGCGGAAAACAACUUACUAAAAAACAACUUUAUUAAAAUUUAUGAAAUCAAUAACAAUGUCUGAAACUAAAACGUACCAACUUAA